UAUGAAGAACGCAGCGAAAUGCGAUACGUAAUGUGAAUUGCAAAUUCAGUGAAUCAUCGAGUCUUUGAACGCACAUUGCGCCCCCUGGUAUUCCGGGGGGCAUGCCUGUCCGAGCGUCAUUGCUGCCCUCAAGCACGGCUUGUGUGUUGGGCCCCGUCCUCCGAUCCCGGGGGACGGGCCCGAAAGGCAGCGGCGGCACCGCGUCCGGUCCUCGAGCGUAUGGGGCUUUGUCACCCGCUCUGUAGGCCCGGCCGGCGCUUGCCGAUCAACCCAAAUUUUUAUCCAGGUUGACCUCGGAUCAGGUAGGGAUACCCGCUGAACUUAAGCAUAUAAUAAGCGGAGGA
rnacentral:misc_RNA from 1 species